GGGACGUUCACUGGAUUGCUAGGGAAUCUGUCUUUGAUGUCAUACUUUAUCAAGAAGAGGGAAACUGAAGCCAAUUAUAAAUUGUUUGAUCUCUUUGAACAAAAUCUAUGGACACUGGAAUGCUAUUACGUCGCAAAGUCAGAAAAAAGGUAUGUCCCACGUUUGGUCCAUCACUGAUAAGAAGGAUUCUCAACUCUUUUACCGCGGACGAGUUACCAGCCACCAUCAGUUGCUUCAGUUGCUGGUAUCCUGGGAGAAAGUGGUAGCCGUUCUAGCUUGACACGGAGUGGGUCAUCACUUCUCAAGAAAUCAUACACGAGUGAUGACGAGCUUGAUGAAUUAGAUUCGCCUAUGACAUCUAUCAUUAUUGACACACAUUCACCAAAGCCGAGCUGGAUGCCAAAAGAAAAUGGAGGUCGAAAUGCUGUCAGGUAUCAACUUCUCCGUAAAGUAUGGACGAGCAGAGAGUAAACAUUAAUAGCUUUGAGUAUCUUGAAGAAAUUCAAUCAAGUGCAGUCAAUAUAAAAGCAAUGUAAGAAUUUGACUCAAUAUGCAUAAAGAGCUGUACAUUAAUUUAAUUAUAUGUAAUAACGUUUCACUUGUUUUGAUUGUGUUCAAUGGAUAAUUUAAGUGUACUAAUGUAUCAAAAGAAAUUUCUUAUUUAAUGUUGUAUCACAUUUCAUGUUUUAGU